rnacentral:lncRNA from 1 species
GUUUUAUUCAUCAGUGGAAUUUGAUCAAUUCAAUGAGAAGGUGAUGGUGAUAGUUUCUACAUGAUUCUUUCACAGAGAAUAAAAGCUAAUGCCAAUAAGGCCACCCUCAUGCGACAUCACUUCAGAACAGUUUUACACCAAAAAUUAUUUUUAUAGUGACAACUAAAAUAUAGUGAAUAUUCAAAUCUCUGGUACCCCCAUUUUGUGUGUGUGUGUGUGUGUGUGUGUGUGUGUGUGUGUGUGUAUACAGUGGAGUUACACAACAUAUGAUAGUAAGAAUGCUCUCCCAAAUAGUCAUAGACUCCUAACUUAACUCUCCUUUCCAGUCAUAGAAAGCACCCUUCUAGUUCCUAAUUGGUGGUGAGUGAUUCUGAGAGACAGUAUAACAAUACAUAAUGUUGUCAUUGUCCUUGGUUACCUCUAAGAAUGUGAGGAUAACACAUAGUGACGAAGAUAUCAUACACUCCAGACACAGGGCUUAGAUGAACUGGAACUGACCAGGAAACCCCAUCUGAGGAGUAGCUCUCAUAGUGUCAGAAGAUGUUUGUGCAAACCGCUAAGAAUUAGUUGCUUAGAAAAAUAUGCCUAGUGGUACAAUAGUAGUACAAUUAUCUUGAAGGUGACCAAUGGCUAUCCCACUGGAUUUAUGGCCCAGUCAAUAGGAGGAAAUCCGUGCAUGGUGCUGUAAACAUAGCCAAGGGCCUGUGGCUGGAGAGGUCAUGGACCCUAGAGAAGACCUACUACUCAACAAAGGAUGAAAAGAUAUAAGGGAAGUCUGCGGUUCAGAUAUUUAAUGAGUGACGUCAAAUGGUCCAGUUCAGAAGGCAAUUCUACAACAAGACAGAGUGAGAAAAAGAUGGCAGGAAGUGGAAGAAGGUAUCGCAUCUUCAGCAUGAUAACGUACACUGGUAAGGUUGAUUGUGUUCCUCAUGGCAGCAAGUUUGAUGAAAUGACCAGUGUCCAGGGAGAACCACUCCUAGGGCUUGUACAUGGAACUGGGAGCAGGAUGAGUCCUAUAUGGACUACGAUUGUUAAUGUUUAAUUUAAGAAAUAGACACAGAGAGUAACAAUAUUAAUGCAAUACACAGUUAAAAUAAUAUAAUACACCUCUCUGUCUUUCUGUCUCUCUGUGUCUGUGACUGUGUCUGUCUGCCUGUCUGUAUCUCUGUCUGUGUCUCUGCCUGUGUCUCUGUCUGUGUCUCUGUCUGUGUCUCUGUCUGUGUCUCUGUCUGUGUCUGUGUCUGUG